rnacentral:piRNA from 1 species
UCCAAACUUGCCUUCUGCUCUCCCUUGC